CUCUUGCCUGCUACCAAGUAAGACGUGACUUUGCUCCUCAUUCACCUUCCACCGAGAUUGUGAGGCCUCCUUAACCAUGUGGAACUGUCUCUCAUUCCACCUAACGAGAAACGCCCACAGGUGUGGAGGGGCAACCCACCCCUUCAAUCAGGAACCUCAGAAUGUGACAUUUGGAAAUUGGGAGGUUGCAGAUGUAACGAAUUAACUUGGCGACAUACUGGAGUAAGGUGGGCCCUUCACACCCUAUGACUGGUAUCCUUAUAAGAAGAAAAGAAGAGACUCAGAGGGAAGACAGCUGUGUGCAGCUGGAAUGAUGCAUCUGAAGCCAAGGAAUGCCGUGCAUUGCCGGCCACCAUCCAAAACUAGAAAAAGUCAGGAAGGAUUCUUCCCUAGAACCUUCAAAGGCAGUACAGCCCUGCCAACACCUGCAUUCAGCCUCUGGCCUCCAGAACUGUGAGAGGAUGAAUUUCUGUUGUUUUCAGCCACCCAAGCUUAGGAAAUGGGUUGCAGCAGACUGGGAAUAAGACAGGCAGCCAGUCAGCCUCCGUGGAAUUCCCAGGCAGCUUGCAGGAGCCAGAGUGGGCCCUGGGCUCUGAGAAGGUCUGAGGCCCAGCAGGCGCAGGGGCCUAAACUAUUUCUCGGCAAGGAGGAAGGAAGGUUCAUCCAGAACGUAGAUCCCCUUCCUCCUUCUGACACCUCACGAGGUCACAGCGAGGUGGCUGGGAGGAGAGCCAGGAAGUUUUCACUGAGGUGUGUGGGAGACAGCUUGGCAGCCCUUGGUCUCUGAAGGGAGGAGGUGGUGUGAAGGAGGGCAGCUUCAGAACUUCCCAGUUCCUGCCUGAUGACCUGUGUGUAAAGUAUUCCCGUUUAGGUUUCAACAUCCUCUCAGAAAUAUAAUUCUCAGAAAAUCCAGGCACCCAAUCCAGCUCCCUGGCAUUCCCUGAAAUCUGAAGUCAAAGGGGCUGAGCCAGCCUGCCCUGGGUGUCAGGUCUCUGAGCCCAAGAUAAGCCAUCAUAUCCCCUGUGACCUGCACAUACACAUCCAGAUGGCUGGUUCCUGCCUUAACUGAUGACAUUCCUCCACAAAAGAAGUGAAAAUGGUCUGUUCCUGCCUUAACUGAUGACAUUCCUCCACAAAAGAAGUGAAAAUGGUCUGUUCCUGCCUUAACUGAUGACAUUGUCUUGUGAAAUUCCUUCUCCUGGCUCAUUCUGGCUCAAAACCUCCCCCACUGAGUACCUUCUGACCCCCACUCUGCCUGCCAGAGAACAAACCCCCUUUGACUGUAAUUUUCCUUUGCCUACCCAAAUCCUAUAAAAUGGCCCCACCCCUAUCUCCCUUUGCUGACUCUCUUUCAGACCCAGCCCACCUGCACCCAGGUGAAAUAAACAGCCA
rnacentral:lncRNA from 1 species